GACGAACGCUGGCGGCGUGCUUAACACAUGCAAGUCGAACGGAGCGAAUGAAAGCUUGCUUUUAUAAGCUUAGUGGCAAACGGGUGAGUAACACGUAGACAACCUGCCGACAGGAUGGGGACAACAUUCCGAAAGGAAUGCUAAUACCGAAUGAAGUGCAGGGGAGGCAUCUCCCCUGCAUGAAAGAUGGCCUCUUUUUAUGCUAUCACCUGUUGAUGGGUCUGCGUCUGAUUAGCUAGUAGGUGAGGUAACGGCUCACCUAGGCGACGAUCAGUAGCCGGUCUGAGAGGAUGAACGGCCACAUUGGGACUGAGACACGGCCCAGACUCCUACGGGAGGCAGCAGUGGGGAAUCUUCCGCAAUGGGCGCAAGCCUGACGGAGCAACGCCGCGUGAGUGAAGAAGGUCUUCGGAUCGUAAAGCUCUGUUGAUGGGGACGAACGUGCCUAAUGCGAAUAGUUUUAGGCAA
rnacentral:rRNA from 1 species